UACAGAGGUCCCAAGCGUUGUUCGGAUUCCCUGGGCGUAAAGGGUGCGUAGGCGGUCGGGUAAGUCUGGCGUGAAAUCUCCAAGCCUAACUUGGAAACUGCGUUGGAUACUAUCCGGCUCGAGGAAUGGAGGGGAGACUGGAAUACUUGGUGUAGCAGUGAAAUGCGUAGAUAUCAAGUGGAACACCAGUGGCGAAGGCGAGUCUCUGGACAUUUCCUGACGCUGAGGCACGAAAGCCAGGGGAGCAAACGGG
rnacentral:rRNA from 1 species